CGCGUGGGUAACCUGCCCUUGAAUCUGGGAUAACUUCGCGAAAGCGUUGCUAAUACCGGAUAAUGCCUUGAGGACUUUGGUUUUUGAGGUGAAAGGUGACCUAUCCAUGGAAGUUGCCGUUCAGGGAGGGGCCCGCGUCCCAUUAGCUUGUUGGUAGGGUAAAAGCCUACCAAGGCGAUGAUGGGUAGCUGGUCUGAGAGGAUGAUCAGCCACACUGGCACUGAAACACGGGCCAGACUCCUACGGGAGGCAGCAGUGAGGAAUUUUGCGCAAUGGGGGAAACCCUGACGCAGCAACGCCGCGUGAGUGAAGAAGGCUUUCGGGUCGUAAGCUCUGUCAAAAGGGAAAAAAGUCUUGCGGUGAAUAGCCGCAAGAUCUGAUGGUACCUUUAGAGGAAGCACCGGCUAACUCCGUGCCAGCAGCCGCGGUAAUACGGAGGGUGCGAGCGUUGUUCGGAAUUACUGGGCGUAAAGCGCGUGCAGGCGGUUUGGCAAGUCAGAUGUGAAAGCCCAGGGCUCAACCCUGGAAGUGCAUUUGAAACUGCCAUUCUAGAGUAUGGGAGAGGAGAGUGGAAUUCCCAGUGUAGAGGUGAAAUUCGUAGAUAUUGGGAGGAACACCCGUGGCGAAGGCGACUCUCUGGACCAUACUGACGCUGAAACGCGAAAGCGUGGGGAGCAAACAGGAUUAGAUACCCUGGUAGUC
rnacentral:rRNA from 1 species